rnacentral:rRNA from 1 species
AUUGAACGCUGGCGGCAUGCCUUACACAUGCAAGUCGAACGAGAUCUUCGGAUCUAGUGGCAGACGGGUGAGGAACACGUGGGAACAUCCCUUUCAGUUCGGAAUAACGUUGGGAAACUAACGCUAAUACCGGAUACGUCCUUCGGGAGAAAGAUUUAUCGCUGAAAGAUUGGCCCGCGUCUGAUUAGCUAGUUGGUGAGGUAACGGCUCACCAAGGCUACGAUCAGUAGCUGAUCUGAGAGGAUGAUCAGCCACAUUGGGACUGAGACACGGCCCAAACUCCUACGGGAGGCAGCAGUGGGGAAUAUUGGACAAUGGGCGCAAGCCUGAUCCAGCCAUGCCGCGUGAGUGAUGACGGCCUUCGGGUUGUAAAGCUCUUUUGUCCGGGAAGAUAAUGACUGUACCGGAAGAAUAAGCCCCGGCAAACUUCGUGCCAGCAGCCGCCGUAA